UGAAGAAGAGGAGGAGUUGGCAGCCACCAUUGUUGAAUGAGCUGGAGUUUGGCAGCCACCAAUGUUGACAACAAAGCAAGAAGAGCUGCCAUGAAAUGCCUAUAAAUAGAGGCAUUAUGUGAGAGCAAAAUGUGAGAGUGGAAGAGAGAGUUGUGAGAACGUGAAGAGAAGAGAAGAAGAGAGAAAGAGGGGCUGCAAUGGCAGCAGCCUUGCUGCCAUUGCAGCAGCUGCAAGUGCAGCAAGAGAGUUGAGAGAGUUGAGUAAAGUGGAUGUAAUCCUCCUCCUCUACAUGUAUUUAUUGUAUCCUUUCUCUAUCUCUAAUAAAAUGAACCUCUCCCGUGGAUGUAGGCGGUUUUGCCGAACCACGUUAAAUAUUGUGUCAGUGUGCUUAAGCCUCCGAUGAGCAACUAUCAGAACAUCACCGGUCGGAAUUCCCAACACUAAAUCCGAAGAAGAAAAGGUUUCUGCUAGCAAGCCAGUGGCUCGAGCACAAGCUAAGGUUCCGUUUGAGAAAGGUUAUAGCCAAAUGGAUUGGCUUAAACUUACUCAAAAACACCAUGAUCUUGCAGCUAUAUUUAUAAUCGAUGCCCCAAAAGCGAGUGAUAUUCUGCUCACCAUCGAACUUUCUAACCAUGGUCAAGCUCGAUCCAUGGGGAAGUCUAUCAGUUCAUCUUAACCUGCUUGCCUUUCUUGCUUAAUUAAGAAGCUGUCCUUCAAGAUUUUGCUUCCGAGGGGGGGAAAGGGAACGGAUUUUCAACGCAUGAACAGGCUUUUUUCCCCUUAAGACUGUUGAGCUUCUCUGCCCAGAUUGCAAUCCUUAACACUUCAUUUCAGACAAUUACCAUGCCUGGGUGAAUGCUGAUUUCUUGCUAGAGAAGUGUCUUGUGGGCACUUUGGAUGCAAGUCAGUGAAGACAGUUGUAUCUUGCAUUUCGUAAGUGGACCUUGGCCACAUCGGCUUAAUCAUCAUAUGAAGCAGAGUUCCUUCUGUAAUUUUCCUAUUGAAGCUUAUCAUGGCAACGAUGCCCUGACACUUUUUGGAUAGGGGGCAACAACACCAAAUCAGUUGUAUUCUUAUGUACAAUAUAUUUUGAAAUAUAUUUUGACGUUAGUGAUAUGAUAAAUAAUAAUGUUCUUACAUGAAAAUUACUUCCGAUGCUGUUGGGAUGAUGUAAUAAAACACAUUUUCCUUGA